rnacentral:tRNA from 1 species
GCCUCGGUAAUCUAAUGGAUAAGAUGCCUGCCCGGAGAGCAGGCGAUCCAGGUUCGAUCCCUGGCUGAGGUA